GGAGCUCCAUCUCAGCUGAGGGGGGGCAGCCUGUCAGCCCUGGAACCAUUUUGGAAGUCUUCAGGGCUGCUACAGCAAGGCAGGUUUAUUGAAGUGUGAAAUAGCAGCAUUCCAGAAAUACAAGGAUGACCUGGCAGCAUUCCCAGCACUUGGUUUUCCUAUUUACACACUAUUUUAUUACACGGAUGUCAUGAACAAACACGAACUGCCACAGGAGUUCUGCCACAGAAGCAUGUGCAGCUUUAAUCUCGCCAUGGUGGCUGCCAUCUUUACUUUUGUGAUGACAACCUGUGGACCCUGCUGGUUCUAACUAUCAACUCCGGCACUGGACCAUUUGCU